rnacentral:rRNA from 1 species
UACGAAGGGGGCUAGCGUUGCUCGGAAUCACUGGGCGUAAAGCGCACGUAGGCGGCUCUUUAAGUCAGAGGCGAAAUCCUGGGGCUCAACCCCAGAACUGCCUUUGAUACUGAGGAGCUUGAGUCCGGGAGAGGUGAGUGGAACUGCGAGUGUAGAGGUGAAAUUCGUAGAUAUUCGCAAGAGCACCAGUGGCGAAGGCGGCUCACUGGCCCGGUACUGACGCUGAGGUGCGAAAGCGUGGGGAGCAAACAGG